rnacentral:misc_RNA from 1 species
GAAAAAUUCCGGUGCCUUGGGGUCCAGAGACAGGAAAUGUACAUGAUACAGAUUGCCUUUGGUGAGCUACUGCUAGUGAUGCAUUGUACCAAGGACCUCUAACAAUGGGCUCGCCAAUGGCAUCUAUAAUCGGCUUGUUCUUACUGGCUCUUUCCAAGGCCUUGCUGCUGCAGCUAUGAUAUAUGGAGAGAUCAUCAAGAGCACUUAGAGCAACGCCUCCAGUUAAGCAAAUCAAGGUCCCUGACACUAUCCUUCGCCCCCAUGUCUUUGCCUUCCCUUCCUCGGCCACCACUUUUCCCGAAGCUGAUGGAGAGCGACGCAAGAAGGAGAUAAAUCUUCUCCCCAACAUUUUGCUUCUGUGAGUUUUU